GAAACGUUAGAAUUUUGGGUCACUUUUAUUCAUCACCUUGAGCUUGACAGUUUUACAAUAUAUAGAGGCUUUUUUGGUGAGAUGGGUGGCAAUAUUAACAACUGUGGUUUUUUUAUAGUGUGUAAUUUAAGUGUGAAAAUAAACAAAGACCAACUCAGUGGGAACACACAGAGGCUGUGUAUUCGGGGCUUGCUGUGGUGGGGGCGUCGGUCACCACUGCGAGUGUUCAGCACAGGCUCAACGGCAGGGGUCCGGGGUGUGUGUCCAGCAGAGGCUCAAAGGCAGGGCUCCAGGGUGUGUGUCCAGCAGAGACUCAAAGGCAGGGGUCUGGGGAUUUAUGAUGAGAAAACGGAAGGUCCCAGGUGAGCCCUGCCGGAGGCUGCUGUCUGGGGACACUGGAGGCGAGUAGCUGGAAUCGGAACAUCCUAUGGAACUGGCCAGGGAGUGUAUUCAGCUUUCUCUGGUUGGUGCUAAGUGGGAAGCACGGAAACAGUGAAGAAAUCUGUUAGUUACUGAUCAAGCCCUGCCAUCUUGGGUCAGCUGUGGUGGGGUCCUUUUCCCACCUCCUGCAGUCCUGACUCCUGGACAGCAGGCUGGCCUCUGGGGCUGGCGUUUGCAGAUAUUAGGUUAGGGUCAGUUUUCCUGGGCAGGCUGAUGCAGGUGUGGGUCAGAGUUGUGGCUUUUCUGUGGUCUACCCAGCGUCCCUUCGUAUAUUCAGUCUCUCGGAGACGUCUGCAUUUGGAAUUUCUGCACGUCUCAGUAAACCGAUAUUUUCCAAAUGGUGAACACAUGAAGUUACAAAGUUAGGCCUGGGUAAAAGGCCCAUUCAAAGGGCAAGAUAGACAAAUGAAUAUUAGUGUAGGAGAGAAGGAAACGUUCACCAAUGUGGCUUCGGAUUCUACGUGGCCAUUAAUCAUUUUAAAAACUAUCACUUUUCAGGUUUUUGUAAAGAUUAAAAUAAGAAUAUCCAUAAUAAUCCAAAAAAGUUCUAAAAAUAUUCUUUUCUCCCCCUACAUAUAUGUAUGUACACACACACACACACGUCUGGAUUUUCCUCAUAUAUUCCCCAAAACACACCGUAACAGGUGGAAGGCAGAGGCAGCUGGGUGAGUCCAGCUGUCUUCCAUUAAAGCCAGACAGAGACUGACACACAUGUAGAUUAAUGCCACUCUUCUCAGUGAUUUCUUUUCUCUUUUGAAAAAUAUAGUUGGUUUUAAUAAAAAUAUGUUAACACAUAAUGGAUUUAUUAUUGUUAUUUUAAAAUGAAUUAGAAUAUUUAAAACAUUUUCUGUUUUAAUUCCUAAUAUGGUAAAUAUUGACAUAUAAUUUACAUAAAUAAUUUGGGGUCCUUAAUGACUGUUAUACCGUAGGGGGCACUGAAACCAAAGUCUGGACCCACUGUGGGUUCCACACAGCCUGAGGUUCUAACCCAGUCAUUUUAUUUUUCAUCUUAGACCAGCAUUGCUGAACUUUGGCUGAAAAAUUGAGUCAUUUAGGAAGAUUUUUAGGAAAAUGCAAGUACCUAGAGUCUCCUCCCGAAGUUCUUAUUCAAUUAACCUGUGUUGUGUCCUAGGCACUGAUACUUUUUAAAAGCUCCUUGAGUAAAUUUUUAGUGGUUAGCCAGGGUUGAGAAUCAGUGCCCGAGGCCAGUGUUACUUGAGGUGGGCGCCAUGAGCUCGCUGACACCGGAGUCUCUGGAGGGCCCCAGGAGCCUGCGUUGUGAGUAACGCCCCCAGCGAGUCUCAUGCGCAGCGGUCUGGGAGCCAGUAAGUUCCGGGCGCAGGUGGUUUGGCAACUGGUGAGUUUCAGGUGCAGGUGGUUUGGGAGCCGGUGAGUCUCAGGCCCAGGCGGUUUGGGAACCGGUGAGUCUCAAAUGCAGGCGGUUUGCGAACCGGUGAGUCUCAGGCGCAGGCGGUUUGGGAACCGGUGAGUCUCGGGCCCAGGCGGUUUGGGAACCCCUGAGUCUCAAGUGCAGGCGGUUUGGGAACCGUUCCUCAUCAGACACAAGCAGCCCAGACGACUUUUCCAUCCUGGGAAGAAGCGGGUGAGCCUCCAGGAUCCUGCCCAAGAUAGGACCCUAGUGCGGAGGCCAGUUGAAGAGGAGCCCUGAGGGAGGGCCUCUGACUUUGAUCCAGGUGCCCGGAACAGACCGAAAUUACCGGACAGUAGCAACCGCAGAGAUGCUCAGAUGCAGGGAUGUCGGCCAGUGAGGCUCGCCCAGGUGGCCACUCAUGAUUUUCCCACUUCACAAUCAUUGCAUCUAAGAGCACUUCAUGGAAACACUGAAGCCAGGGUGAUUACUGUCAGUGUGGUUCCUUGACUUGCCCUCCGCUGUCCACUGCCCUCAGGCCCAUGUGACAACCGCAACUGCCGGCGCCCGGGCACACAGCCGACUUAGCGCCGUCCGGAAGCAGAGCACGUGCUUCGUAAAAAAUGAAAUGACUCUCUGCACUCUGAAAUCUUUGAACAUGUGCAUCUCCUGAGGCUUGGCUGUGGUUUUAACUUCUAUAUGCCUUAAAUUUCCCAACAAACGAAUAAAAUUAUGAAUAUAAAAAUAAAUGGAAAA